GAGUUUGAUCCUGGCUCAGGAAAAACGCAAGAGACGUGCCUAACACAUGCAAAUUUAAUGGUUAAUAAAUUAACUAUAGUGAAUUGGUGAGUAAAAUAUGAAAAUUUAAUUUUAGAUUGGAAGUAUUUCUAAUAACUUAGAAGUAAUCUCUGAUAAGUGCAUAUAUGUUGCUUUUAAAAAGUUAAUACUGUCUAAAAAAAAGUUCAUAUCUGAUUAGCUAGUUAGUAAUAUAAAAAUUUACUAAGGCGAAGAUCAGUAGCUGCCCUGAGAGGGGGACCAGCCACAUUGGGAUUGAAAUACAGCCCAAACUCCUACGGGAGGCUGCAGUGGGGAAUCUUCUGCAAUGAGCGCAAGCUUGACAGAGCGUCGUCACGUGAAGGAAGACAGCUUAUUUUUUAGUUGUAAACUUCUUUUACUUAAAAGUGAAUAUUGACACUUAAGUAAAUAAAGUAUCGGCAAACUCCGUGCCAGCAGCCGCGGUAAAACGGGGGAUACAAGCGUUAUCCGGAAUUACUGGGCGUAAAGCGUAUGUAGGUGGUUUUAAUAUAUUUUUAUAUAAAAAAAACUUGAUAUUUGUUUUUAGUAAAAAAAUUAUUAAACUAGAGUCUGUUAGGGGUAAAAGGAAUUUUUUGAGGAGUAGUGAAAUGCAAAGAUACAAAAAAGAAGACCAAAAGCGAAAGCAUUUUACUAGGACAGUUUAUUUUACUGACACUGAGAUACGAAAGUUAAGGUAGCGAAUGGGAUUAGAUACCCCAGUAGUCUUAACUGUAAACGAUGGAUACUCGGAAUAAUAUAUAAAUAAUAUUUUAUUCCUUAGCUAACGCGUUAAGUAUCCCGCC
rnacentral:ncRNA from 1 species